CCAAACUUGGUCAUUUAGAGGAAGUAAAAGUCGUAACAAGGUUUCCGUAGGUGAACCCGCGGAAGGAUCAUUAUCGAGUUUUCGGAAAGGGGGGGGAGGCUGUUAGCUGCCCUCGGGGCAGGGGGGAUAUUUUUCUCUCUCUCUCUCUCUCUGAGGUGUGUGCACGUCCCCCGCUCGAUCCACUUUCUCUUUCCAACACCUGUGCACUCACCGUAGGGGGGCGCCCUUUUGCGAUGGUGAAGUGGGCGCAAGGGGCCGUCGUUUCGGUCUUUUUCGCCUGUGGAGCCUCUCGCGCGCGGCGUCCUCUACGUUUUAUUACACACACACAGAACCUUUGAGUUAAAACGGGGGAACGCGCGUGUGUCGCUCUGCUGCGCACGUGCGUGCGCCCGAAUAUAUAUGCACACAACUUUCAGCAACGGAUCUCUUGGCUCUCGCAUCGAUGAAGAACGCAGC
rnacentral:misc_RNA from 1 species